GGCCUCGCGACCCUCCUGCUUCCCUCCCCGCCCCGCGCCGCCUCUCUGGUUUGUGCGCCCGUCGCAGGUCGCAGGCCUCUUUGUCAGCUGGAGUUGCGCGGUCCAGGGCUGACGCGCCACUAUGUAGCGGGUUUCGGGCGGGCCACGCGUGCGGGACAGGAACCCAACCCCAGCCGACCUUGAGCUCCAGGAGUUCGUCUCUUACGUCUGCGGAAGUGCAGCUGCCUCAGUUCUUAGCGCAGGUGUUGACAACUACAGGCACAAGCCAUUGAAGCUGGAAUGUCCUGUUGCUGGUAUUUCAAUUGACUUAAGCCAACUAUCCCUUCAGUUACAAUAGGAAAGUGCCUCUAAUAAGGCCAAAUAUGCGUACUAACUUGUAGCAACCACGUGUCCGUGCAGUGCCACAGGAGCUAGAGCAGUGACAAUGCUGGUGGCAACAGGGCAGUGUAGCAGGUGCUUCAUGUUCACCUUUUCAACCUUUUCAUUUAAUUGUCACAACUCGGAGGUGGAUUCUGUUAGGGACAGGCUGCCCCAGGACCACUCCGCCCCCGCUAACUCAAUGCAGCUGACCCUUACCCUGAAUACUCUGCAGCUGCAUUCCUGAACCGUUAUCUAGGCGCUAUAGCAAGGUCACCAGACUUGCUACACCGAAGCCCUCUGGGUGGCACGGGGGAGGUCAUGAGAAACGUGGAUUACACCCCCUUGUAAAUUCCUAUUUUCACAAGAUAAUAUAUUGUAAGCCGGUCAUGAGAUUAUAUGUGGUAAAGUUAAUUGACUAACAACCCCAGGGUCUCUCUCCCCCAUAUAAACCCCUCAUUUUGUAAGCUCAGGGCUGCCACCUCCGACUGGUGGAGAAGCCUGGCAGGUUAAUAAACUUACUUGGCCUGACCUUGGGUCUCUUGUCUCUACAAGUUUCACGCUGUUUAAGUCAUGAACCUACAAAAGCCUGUGAAAAAAUCUUUGAAGAUGCUCAGCUUGUUUCAGUCUGAAAUUUCUCCAAGACCAAUGAACAAAACAGGAUCAUGCCCUGAAUACACACCCAAGCUGCAGGCUCCUGCUUAGCCCUAUUUUGGUUUGGCCUCCAUGAGAUCUUCAGCCACAAUAGCAGGAGAUAAAAAUCUUCCUAGAAGCUUUCAUCAGCUGCAAGUUUUCUUACAGAAUGAAACUUUUCUGCUAUUUUUCUCAUAGUUAAUUGGCUAUUUGAGAAAACCGAAUUUCUGGCUCUCAGCAUUUAAUUGGAUUCUGUGGGUGACUGGAUGACCGCUUUGCACAUCACCAUGGGUAUCAUCCUUACCUUCUUUAAACCUUUUGUGCCAGUCAAAAAUUCUUGCUCUUGAUAUGUCAUCACCGGAAACUACUUUUUUUUUUUGUUUCUCUUUUGUGACAGGGUCUUCCUCUGUCACCCAGGCUGGAUGGAGUAUAGUGGAACAAUCAUAGUUCACUGCGGCCUUGGUACCCUAGGCUCAAGCGAUCCUCCCACCUCAGCCUCCUGAGUAGGUGGGACCACAGGUGUGUACCACCAGACCUGGCUAAUUUUGUUAUUGUUGUUUUUUAUAGAGGUGGGGGGGUCUCCCUAUGUUGCCCAGGCCUGUCUUGAACUCACGGGCUCAAGUGAUCCUCCUGCCUCAGCCUCCCAAAGUUCUGGGAUUACAGGGGUGAGCCACUGGACCCAGCCAGAAACUACUUUUAACAGUUC
rnacentral:lncRNA from 10 species